GGAUUGUGGCUCAGCGGUAGAGCGCUUGCCUAGCAUGUGAUUACACUGUUCAAAAAACAGAAUACUAUCUACUGAUUAAGAGAGAGAAGAGAGGGCUGGGGAUGUGGCUCAAGCGGUAGCACGGUCACCUGGCAUGCGUGCAGCCUGGGUUCGAUCCUCAGCACCA
rnacentral:tRNA from 1 species